UACGUAGGGAGCAAGCGUUGUCCGGAUUUAUUGGGCGUAAAGCGCACGCAGGCGGUUUAGUCAGUCUCUACUGACAGUGUCCGGCCUCAACCGGGCAAGUGGUAGGGAAACUGCUAAACUUGAGGGCUUCAGAGGGAUGGGGAACUCCAGGUGGAGUGGUGAAAUGCGUAGAUAUCUGGAAGAACACCAAUGGCGAAGGCACCAUCCUGGGAAGCAUCUGACGCUCAGGUGCGAAAGCUAGGGGAGCGAACGGGAUAGAAACCCC
rnacentral:rRNA from 1 species